CAGGCCGCCCUGAGCUUGACCUUUGGCUUCACCUCAAGUAUUUCAAGGUCCUUUGUUUCCUUUGGACGCGCGCCGGUGACCUUUCACACUGUGUGAAAACGAACGGACCAGGGAAAGGAGACAGAGACGCGGUUCUGGACAGAGAGGUUGUUCUGACCAAAAUGAAGCUCUUCAGCAACAUCCACAAGAUGCUUCCGACGGCCGACGACUCGGCCUCCACCAUCUCAACUGUGUCCGUUUCGGAGCAGGACGUCUGUGACCCCAGCAAACCCUCUGAAGUACGUUCCCACCGCGUUGACGAGCCGGGCCGGCUUCAGACGGAGUCCGUCUCACGGCACCCGGCCUCGGACUCUCGGCUGACGAGGUCGUACAAGUUUGAGUCGGAGGACUCUGGAGUGGAGCUGCCCAGCGGCGCGGACUCUCCGUCCACCCCGACGAGCUCUGAGCAGAGCUUCACUGUCCACAGCCGAGAGUCCUCCUGCAACCGGAACUCCGACGCCGGCGCCGCCCCCGAUGACCUGGUGCCACUCACGCAGCUCCCGGAGAGCAAACAGGCGCCGGGCUCAGCGGACGAUGGUGCGAGUGCAGCAGCGGGGGCUCUGAAUGACGGUUUCAUACACUCAGAGGAGCUCAGUUCAGCCGUGGGUGCAGAGCGGCGCGCAGGUGAGGAGGUGGACGGGGACCAGAGCGGGGGGUCGGGAGCCAGCCCUGAGAGAGACGAGGACAUGCCGGGACAGCUUGAGGAAACCUGCGCCGAAACCGAGAGGACCUGCUUCCGAGGAGACGGCAGCCACUUCGAGCCGGCGCCUCGGCGGAGCCGUGAGACCAGAGACAGCCUGGAGGACUACAUGGACCAAUGCUGCAGACUGAGUGAGGCACAGCAAGCGAGUUCCAACCCUCCGGGCUCGGGCCUGGAUUACCUGGAUCACAUCUGCCAACUCAUCGCCAGGAUCGGCCACCUGCAGGAGAACAACCUCCAGCUGCAGCGGCAGAUCUACAGCCUUCAGAAGGACAGCAGGACGGCAAAGACCAAAGAGGACUUUUUCCAGCAUCACUGCAGCUGUGGGGCGGCCUGCUUGUCUUUCCAGGACAUUCAGAAGAGACAGUCCAGAAGUGACUUCUCGUCCCCCAGUGGGACCCUCUCUGACCUGUCCACCAUCCCCGAGGUCACCCGGCCUCCACUCUUACCAGCCCGAGGAGACAUGAGCGGUGCGGGUUUGACACCCGUCCAACUGUGGAGGACGGGCUUGUACCGGAGGAGUUACACCGAGGGGGAAGAGCCCUUCCUCAGCCACAGCACCGAGGCGCUCUCCAUCCCCCAGCGAAGGCUCAGCGAAAACUGCACAUGGGGACGAGUCAAAGACCUGGUGAGGAAGACUAAGGUGAAGAACCAAAGCCGGCUGCGCCUGAAUUCUGCCUCCCUGGAGAGGUCCUGCCCACAGCUCUACAUGCCUGACGUGGAACCAUUAGAACCCGCUUGCAGAGACAGGAGCUCCAUGAUAGCCUUGGGCCACCACAGCAAACUGGACGUCCCUUGGUUACAAUAAACAUGGAGGAGGGACACGCAUCCGUUCUGGGAGAAUAACCACCACGCACCAUCCAGCAAUCCUCAAGCCAUUAUUUUAUUAAAGGCUGUUGAAGUGGUCCGAUAAAGGAUGGGCUCCGGGAGAGAAGGGACACAUUCUGGGGCUUUACAAUCCACUACAUGAUGCGGCUGCUGCAAUGCUGCCAUUUUUGGGCUAAAAAAAUAAAGAAAAAUUGACUUGAUACACAACUAAGAUUACUCGGAAUGUGCCUCAGUCUGAACACACUUUCAGAAGCUUGUAAACGUUAAAGUUGGCUGGACGUUUUCUUUGGAAUGCACAGUGCAAAAUAUACUAAAUCAAUAUUGUAAAGUUGAUAUUCUCGCUAUCAAAAGAACAUUUCUUGAUCGCUAAGUCACACCCUCAUCUUUGCACAAUGGAUGGAGAACAAACGAUAAUAACACAGAUAACAAUUGUCAUUUGUUUAUGUCAGAGUAACAAACAGCUGGUUGGUUGAUUGGGACAUUGUGAUGCAUUUCAUUUCCAACGUCACACUUGUACCAUUAUGUGGUUUGGAUGUCAGGACUCUACUGCAUGCUAUUGUACUCCAAAACGGGAAAACUGUAAGUAAACUAUUGCAUUUAAGUAGAAUUUUGUAAGACAAUAACUUUUUCUAAUAAGUUAUAUCUGAGGUUUAUCUGCAUGGCGUCAGACAACUAUAUAUGUAUUUUAUGUUUCUGUAUGGAUAUUGCAUUCAUAUUCAAAUGUAUUUUUUAAUAAAAAUUCAAUCCAAAGGAAUUGAUGCAGAA
ensembl:lncRNA